rnacentral:rRNA from 1 species
UCGGGAAUUUUGGGCAAUGGGCGAAAGCCUGACCCAGCAACGCCGCGUGAAGGAUGAAGUAUUUCGGUAUGUAAACUUCGUAAGAAUAGGAAGAAUAAAUGACGGUACUAUUUGUAAGGUCCGGCUAACUACGUGCCAGCAGCCGCGGUAAUACGUAGGGACCAAGCGUUGUUCGGAUUUACUGGGCGUAAAGGGCGCGUAGGCGGCAUGACAAGUCACUUGUGAAAUCUCUGGGCUUAACCCAGAACGGCCAAGUGAUACUGUCGCGCUAGAGUGCAGAAGGGGCAAUCGGAAUUCUUGGUGUAGCGGUGAAAUGCGUAGAUAUCAAGAGGAACACCUGAGGUGAAGACGGGUUGCUGGGCUGACACUGACGCUGAGGUGCGAAAGCGUGGGGAGCAAACAGGAUUAGAUACCCCCGUAGUCCCUGAGCGGGCUGGCAAGGCGCAU